UGGGGAAUAUUGGGCAAUGGGCGAAAGCCUGACCCAGCAACGCCGCGUGGAGGAUGAAUGCCGUAAGGUUGUAAACUCCUGUUAGAGGGGAAGAAUAAUCCCGAUCGACUCGGGACAUGACUGUACCCUCAGAGAAAGCUCCGGCUAACUCCGUGCCAGCAGCCGCGGUAAUACGGGGGGAGCAAGCGUUGUUCGGAAUCACUGGGCGUAAAGGGCGUGUAGGCUGCACGGUAAGUGAGAUGUGAAAUCCCUCGGCUCACCCGAGGAAGUGCAUCUCAAACUGCCGCGCUUGAGUACGGGAGAGGAUGUGGGAAUUCCUGGUGUAGCGGUGAAAUGCGUAGAUAUCAGGAGGAACACCGGUGGCGAAGGCGCACAUCUGGCCCGAUACUGGCGCUGAGGCGCGAAAGCUAGGGUAGCAAACGGGAUUAGAUACCCCGGUAGUCCUAGCCGUAAACGGUGAUCACUAGGUGUUGGGGGCGUUGACCCCUUCAGUGCCGCAGCUAACGCAUUAAGUGAUCCGCCUGGGGAGUACGGCCGCAAGGCUG
rnacentral:rRNA from 1 species